ACGUGAUGCGUUCAGGUGUUGUGAUGCGUUCAUGUGACGGACGUGAUGCGUUCAGGUGUUGUGAUGCGUUCAGGUGACAGACGUGAGGCAUUCAGGUGGCAGACGGGAUGCGUUCAGGUGUCGUGAUGUGUUCAGGUGACGGACGUGAUGUGUUCAUGUGUUCAAGUGUCGUGAUGCGUUCAG